ensembl:lncRNA
GUGAUGAGGUGGAGGGGUGGGAGGAGAGGAAAGGAGGGCUCCCACAAAGCCCCUCCUACCCUCAUGGUUUUUUUUUUUUUUUUUUAGGGGGGAGGGGAGUAUAGUUGAUUUACAACAUGUGUUAGAUCCAGGUGUAUCUUCCUGUGCUUGAUAUGAUGCAAAAAACAAUGGAGGAAACAUUAUGGAAGAGAGAGCAACUUCUACUCAGUGUAGUUGAUGUGCUCUGUCAUCUCUGUCUCUGGGUUGUAAUUCCACAAGUUGGUGCUGACCAUCUCCCAUAGUCCUCACAGUAGCCUAGUGAGGGAGCUUUUCUGUCCCUCACCAACAGGCGAGUGGAGUAGCAGGGGCUCAGGCAGGUGACACGGACACCUGAAAUGCUGGGCCGGAGGGCAUUGGAGCCGGGCCCCCCCUGCCCUAGGACCAGAAGGACCCAGGACCCAUUUUCUCUCCCACCUCCAUCGGCAGACUUCCAGCUCAUUCUUGCUGAGAUACAAGUGACCGCAAUGCACAAGGCGAGGGGAGCUGUUAACUCGGGUUUCAGCAAGCCUGGCUGCCAGCACAACUGAGGUACUUACAGGUGGUUCCUGCCUCAUCUGUCCUGGGAGCUGGGAAUCAGUGUCCAUGCAAAAAUGACCAUGAUGCUGCCAUCACCUCUCACCUGGACACCGGACGGCCUCCCUGCACUUCCGCUACCUGGGCCCCCAGUGGAUCCUCUAAUCUAUUCUCAAAGCGUAGCCGGAAUGAUCUUUGCUAAAUGCAAACUUCCCUGUUCAGAGUGAGCUGCCAUUGCAAGGCCCCACCCUCUGUCCUCUCCAGCCUCACUUUGUCCCGCCCCCUCACAUCUCCUGGCAGCCACUAACUUACAUUCUGUCUCUACAGAUUUGCCCAUUCUGGACAUUUCAUCUAACUGGACUCACACAGUCUUUGUCCUUUUGUGUCUGGCUUCUUUCUCUCCCAUGGCGUCAUGCUUUCAAGAUGCAUCCAUGGGGUAGUAUGCCAUCACUUCAUACUUGUUCUUGGUGGCAUAAUAUUCCACUGCACAGAUAUCCACACUUAAUUUUCCAUUCAUCAGUUGAUGGACAUUUGGGUUGUUUCUACCCCUUGGCUCUUAUGAACGGUGCUACUACAAACAUUUGUGUACAAUCGUCUGAGUACAUGUUUUUAAU